rnacentral:SRP_RNA from 1 species
UCUGGGCUGUAAUGCGCUAUGCCAAUCAGGUGCCUGCACUAAGUUUCGGCUUCAGUAUGGCGACCUCCUGGGAGUGAGGGACCACCAGGUUCCCUAAGGAGGGGUGAACCGGCCCAGGUUGGAAAUGGAGCAGGUCAAAACUCCCAUGCUGAUAAGUAGUGGGAUGGUACCUGUGAAUAGCCACUGCACUCCAG